UGGGUUGUGGCUCAGUGGUAGAGCGCUUGCCUAGCAUGCGUGAUGAUGCACUGGGUUCGAUUCUCAGCACUACAC
rnacentral:tRNA from 1 species